AUUGAACGCUGGCGGCAGGCCUAACACAUGCAAGUCGAACGAGUGGCGGACGGGUGAGUAAUGUCUGGGAAACUGCCUGAUGGAUGGGGAUAACUACUGGAAACGGUAGCUAAUACCGCAUACCAUCGGAUGUGCCCAGAUGGGAGUAGCUUGUGGGUGGGGUAACGGCUCACCUAGGCGACGAUCCCUAUCUGGUCGGAGAGGAUGACCAGCCACACUGGAACUGCGACACGGUCCAGACUCCUACGGGAGGCAGCAGUGGGGAAUAUUGGACAAGGGGCGCAAGCCUGAUGCAGCCAUGCCGCGUGUAUGAAGAAGGCCUUCGGGUUGUAAAGUACUUUAAGCUGGGAGGCGUUACCCGCAGAAGAAGCACCGGCUAACUCCGUGCCAGCAGCCGCGGUAAUUC
rnacentral:rRNA from 1 species